CACAGAUGUUGCAUGUGUUGUUGUUGUGGGUGUUGUUGUGGUUGUAGCAAAAGGCAUCAAAAGCGUUCACCUGGCCUGGCUCACAAAUCCUCAAAGUCAUUAGGCUUUAUGGGGAGGUAGUAUGUGUAGAGGAGACUCCUGAGGUCCUUCUUAAACACCAGAACCUGGCGAUCAUCAUCAAAGCGGCUAAUUACCUGGGGAAGGAGAGAGAUUUGGUGUUUCACUACCCAGGGCAGAGUGCAAUGUCCUGGUGUUAAGCUGCUCCAGGCUGAACUGGGUGAUGACCCCGGUGUGAUCUGGGUCCAGCAGGAGCAACAAUUCCCUGACCUGGGCUGGGCUCAGAAAGGGUCCAGGGACAUUGCAGCCAGACCAGGGGCCCAGCAGGUCACCCCGGUAACCCUGGGGGACUUCCAGAGCCCGACAAAAGUCAGCAUGGGUGAUCUUACCAUUUCUACCCUAUGGUGAGACAUAGCAAACCCUUUUUUUAAGCUCUUAUUGGUUUAGGGUAAAGAGAUGCUCAUAGCCCUUGUUUUAAAUAUUGAAGUUUAUUUGUAAAAACUGUACAGAAAUUGUAAGGUACCAUGAGUUCCUAUGUGGAGUUGUGUUAUUAUGUUUGGCAUUCAUAUGUUGUGUAAAAGUGUCGUGCUUCACCAGAAGAUGUCCACUGCUUUUGUACAGUUUUGUACAACAGUACAGGCUUCAAAUCAGUUGGCAAAUCACAGACUGUGAAUCAACGCACCCCAUCUCAGCCUAAAACAACUUCUCCCCAGAGUCUGUCUGUAACACAAGCAGACUGGCUUCGAACAUGGCUGUCUGAAAAAGCUAAUUAUUGGCGGUUGGUGUGUGGGUGCCUUGUUUGAUCUAGCACUCACAGAAUUGAUUAUUAAAACAGUUGAUAAGGUUUUUUGUGCCAUAAAAGGAGGGGUUUCUGGCAGAUAUGUUGUGAAUUCCUAUUUGGAAUAGGCUUCACACACAUACACACUGAAAGUUGGAAACCAACAAUUCUUAUUUUUUGUGUGUAGUGAUAGCCUAUGAACAUCAAAGAUCUCUGUAAAUGAAUAUGAAACAUAUUUUCCUUCUAAAGUUUUGUGUAACUGUCAAGUUUAAUUGCUGAUAGGGAUUGAUUUGGAGAAAAAAAUAGAUGGAACUUGAGGCAUGAUGAUAUUGAUGUUGGUAAUGGUUGUCAAAUGAACAUAUGGUUACUGACAGUGUGACUAACUACUGGGCAUAUGUAACAGAAUUUUUGGACAUCCAUAAUUUGCUUAUCUGUAGAGUGUUGAUUAGAAUCAGAUUCAUUAUUUGACAGUAAAAUGUAUACUCAAUAAUUCAAUCCAUUUAGCAGACACGUUUUUCCAAUGUGGCAUUCAGUUUGACAUUAAUUUCAUAUACGUAAUCUUGGGAAUUGAACUCACUAUGCUUGCUCCGUUAACUCGCAUCACCUACAAGGCUUCCCUGCACCAGAGACCACUGUGCUACCUGGGAUGCCCUUUUUCUAACAAUUCUAUCUUUUACCUUGUCCCACCUAUUAGUUAUGGCCUUCUAUUACCCUGUCCAACUGGUUGAAGGCUCUUUUCAGUAUAGGGUAGACAUCUGGAAGAUUCAAAAGCCCCUCUGCAUUGGGGAGCUCAGGAAUCCUACAGGAAAGGAUGAAAAAUGAGAAGUAGCUAGCGAUGAGAGUGCGCAGUCACCAAAAAAGUUUGCUCACUUUAAUCCUCGUGCCGGCAAGGUAAAGGUUCUGUCGUCUGAUGUCGCGGUUAACCCUAAUUGCAACCCAGGUUGUUGCUGGAAAUAAAAGUCAUACUUACCUAGUAAAAUAAGAGUGAAAAAAUAUAUACUCUAAUAAAAAAGAGAAAUUGAGAGAAAUUUUUUGAUAAGGAAAAAAAGUAUUGAAUAUACAGAAAGAGGACACAAGGAGAAAUGAAUAAUCUACAGUCAACUCAAGAAGUAUUGCCAGCCAUCAUGAAUUUGAGAAACAUGAAUUCAGUAGAAACAAUAAAUCAUAAUGGAGUCAUUAUUAACACAAUUUCUCAUUUCAUUGAAUAGUAUGAUAUUUUGAAACAUACAUUUAAAAAGUAUUGGUAACCCUAAAGAAUAUUUCAAAUAAAA
rnacentral:lncRNA from 1 species